GGCAGGGAGUAGACCGGUGUCUAGGGACGUUUCAUAAGCGUUCUCCGGUGGGUUCGACUCCCACCCCUGCUA
rnacentral:tRNA from 1 species